rnacentral:rRNA from 1 species
GUCGAACGAAUCCUUUCGGGGAUUAGUGGCGGACGGGUGAGUAACGCGUGAGAAUCUACCAAAAGGACUGGGACAACCACUGGAAACGGUGGCUAAUACCGGAUGAGCCGCAACGUAAAAGAGGAAACUCGCCUUUUGAAGAGCUCGCGUCUGAUUAGCUAGUUGGUGAGGUAAAGGCUCACCAAGGCGGCGAUCAGUAGCUGGUCUGAGAGGAUGACCAGCCACACUGGGACUGAGACACGGCCCAGACUCCUACGGGAGGCAGCAGUGGGGAAUUUUCCGCAAUGGGCGAAAGCCUGACGGAGCAAGACCGCGUGAGGGAGGAAGGCUCUUGGGUUGUAAACCUCUUUUGUCAGGGAAGAACACAAUGACGGUACCUGAAGAAUCAGCAUCGGCUAACUCCGUGCCAGCAGCCGCGGUAAUACGGAGGAUGCAAGCGUUAUCCGGAAUUAUUGGGCGUAAAGCGUCCGCAGGUGGCACUUCAAGUCUGCUGUCAAAGACCGGGGCUUAACCCUGGAAAGGCAGUGGAAACUGAAGCGCUAGAGUGUGGCAGGGGUAGAGGGAAUUCCCGGUGUAGCGGUGAAAUGCGUAGAGAUCGGGAAGAACAUCGGUGGCGAAAGCGCUCUACUGGGCCACAACUGACACUCAGGGACGAAAGCUAGGGGAGCGAAUGGGAUUAGAUACCCCAGUAGUC